rnacentral:lncRNA from 1 species
GGGAACCUUAUUGAUCCCCCUGAUAUCACACUGUACGAACAAAGAACAUUUUGGCAGGAGGCUGAAGAGGAAAGAGCGCAGGAGAGGAGGAGGGACCUCCUGCUAAGGGGUGUGACAUUCAUGGAAGGCUAGGAAUUUGGAGCCCGGCUCCCUUUGUACCUGGCACCCACCAAAUGACCCAAACUGUGCUCUUGCUUGCUCAUCUGGUUGCUCAGGCGGGAAACGACAGAUCUGGGUUCUUUUUAGUAAGCACCCCAAUGUGUUGGGUGCCCCACCUAGUUACAUUUUACAAGAUUCUGUGUUAGGUUCCCAAGGUGUUUUAUUUACUGGCAAUGGCGUUCUUUCACACAGUGCAUUUAUUCACGGGGUCCUUUGUGUUCAGGCGCUCAGUGGGUUGGGUCCUGACAGAAGAUUCAUGUGGUACAAAGUCUGAGAACAUAAGAUAUAAACUCACAAAAGAAAGUCAGUUUGCCAAAAGUAAAGCUGGGUGAAUGAGAGGAAAUAAAUGGUCUAGACUCAAAGACAAAGAAUGGACAGAGAGCUUCUGCCAAGACCACUACUGUUUGUCUCCGUGCUUGGCAGGAAGGGAGGGUGAAGGCCUGAACUCUCUUCAGGCACGGUUUGUUUAAGUGCAAAGGAUUUGUGUUGCUCACGCAGUCCACAAAAUGCAUGCUGGAUCCCAGCUAGGGUAGUGGUUUCUAGCAGACACCUGCUACACAGUAUCUGCAUUUAGCUGUGGCUGCCAGGGAUCAACAACCCAACAUUGGGCCUCUGCAGCAUUGGUGUGCACUGCUGCAUGGAGCUGCGUUCUGCACAGCGAGAAAAGAGCCAGGCCCUUCCCAGAAAACAGACUUCUACAGCUAGGGGUAAUUUUUCUUUUUUCAUUUUGAUUCUUUAACCUCUCAAAAUGCUAUAUCUCUAGAGGAAAGAGCCUGGCUUGAGCAUCAAGAAAAACUGAGUUCAAGUCCAGUCCCUGCCACAAACAGAUACAUGUCAUGGAACAAAA